CAGUCGAGGGGUAUAGGUUUUCGGACCUAGAGACCGGCGCACGGGUGCGUAACGCGUAUGCAAUCUACCUUUUACAGAGGGAUAGCCCAGAGAAAUUUGGAUUAAUACCUCAUAGUAUUAUUGAAUGGCAUCAUUUAAUAAUUAAAGUCACAACGGUGAAAGAUGAGCAUGCGUCCCAUUAGCUAGUUGGUAAGGUAACGGCUUACCAAGGCCACGAUGGGUAGGGGUCCUGAGAGGGAGAUCCCCCACACUGGUACUGAGACACGGACCAGACUCCUACGGGAGGCAGCAGUGAGGAAUAUUGGUCAAUGGGCGCAAGCCUGAACCAGCCAUGCCGCGUGCAGGAUGACGGUCCUAUGGAUUGUAAACUGCUUUUGUACGGGAAGAAACACUCCUUCGUGAAGGAGCUUGACGGUACCGUAAGAAUAAGGAUCGGCUAACUCCGUGCCAGCAGCCGCGGUAAUACGGAGGAUCCAAGCGUUAUCCGGAAUCAUUGGGUUUAAAGGGUCCGUAGGCGGUUUGGUAAGUCAGUGGUGAAAGCCCAUCGCUCAACGGUGGAACGGCCAUUGAUACUGCUAGACUUGAAUUAUUAGGAAGUAACUAGAAUAUGUAGUGUAGCGGUGAAAUGCUUAGAGAUUACAUGGAAUACCAAUUGCGAAGGCAGGUUACUACUAAUGGAUUGACGCUGAUGGACGAAAGCGUGGGUAGCGAACAGGAUUAGAUACCCUGGUAGUCCACGCCGUANACGAUGGAUACUAGCUGUUGGGAGCGAUCUCAGUGGCUAAGCGAAAGUGAUAAGUAUCCCACCUGGGGAGUACGUUCGCAAGAAUGAAACUCAAAGGAAUUGACGGGGGCCCGCACAAGCGGUGGAGCAUGUGGUUUAAUUCGAUGAUACGCGAGGAACCUUA
rnacentral:rRNA from 1 species